ACGCACUCGGGGCUGCCGGUCCUGGGAGCGGGAGCGUCCUGGCGUCUGGCGUCAAAGACAGUUUCCGUGCUGUAACACCAUCACAAUCUCACCAAGUGAGAGGGACCCAUACUAAACAAUGGAGAACAUUCUGGCACGUGCUUAUCAGUGUUCACCUCCAAUACCCUCUGUCUGCAUUCUAAGAGCGAGCCUAAGAUCUUCACAUUUGAUCAUGUGGCAGAUAUGGACACCACUCAGAUGGUGCAGAAAGACCAAUAUGAGUUCCUGAACAGAACAUCCGGAUCUGUGCUCAAAGUGACCCAGGAACUCAGACUGCAGAACAAGCACAGAGACAAAAGAACAAGGAAGGAACACUCAAGAUGAUGGAGCAAGACCCUGAAGUUUGAUAAAAGUAUUGACUCUCAUUUUCUCCUGCAGCCUUGAGGUGUUGUUUUUUGUCAGUGCCUGUACAAUGUACUCUUUCAUCUUACAAGGACAAGCUGGUCAGAAUUGAGUUUCCUCCUCUUCUCCAUCGUGGAAUAUGAUUUCUCAAGGAAGUAUCAACCCUAGGACACAUUGCUAAAGUGACUAACAUUGUACAAGAAGAGUUAAGUUUGCAUUGCUUACCACCUUGCAGGGGGAUUAUACCAUGGCAAAGGGAUGCUUCCAGUGUGUUUUAGGAUAGAGGUGACUUUUGAUCAUUGUGUUAUCUGGGAUAUUGUAUCCUUUGUAUCACAUAUUGUCUUAUCGAUGUCAUUUGACAACAGCUUCAUUGUGUUAGCUAGGAUAUUGUAUCUUUUGUAUAUUUACCAACUUUAAGAAGCACUGAAGCAUUGGUUUGAAAUGUCUGUGAUUUGUCUUUUGUUAACAGUCAUUUCCCAGGGACUCAACCCCAGAACCUAGCCGAGAAAUUCUGGAAAAUUGGGUGUAACCAAUAUAGUUAAAAAGU